rnacentral:tRNA from 2 species
GCGCCUGUAGCUCAGUCAGGAUAGAGCAACGGACUUCUAAUCCGUUGGUCGGCAGUUCGAAUCUGCCCGGGCGUA